rnacentral:ncRNA from 2 species
UAAAAUUCAGGUGAUGGAGUUCACCUUUAAAUGCUUUUUGCUAAUGACUCCUCCUUAAUA